AUGAGGCCCAAUUACGUUAGCGAAAAUGAGGCCUGCACAGCCAACGGGCUUCGUAGUCUCGUAGAAAAAAACUCCGAGGCUCCGAGGUCUCCACGCCUCCACCGCCCCACUCACAACCUUAUCGUCGCCGCGGUACGAGCACAGAUGGCGCCGCCGGCAGCAGCGCCGCCUGCCGCCAUGUCCGCCCUCCCCACCUUCGCCUCCUCCCACCCAUACCCUUCCCUCCCCACUCCCAAAACGGCCGCCCCCAAACCACGCCUCACCCUGGCCUACGCCGGCGCCGCCGCGGCUCCCAAUGCCGUCCCCCACCGCAGCGCCGCCGCCUCCAACGACCGCCUGCGAGGCCUGGUCCGCCGCGGCGACCUCGAGGAGGCCCUCCGGCUCGUCGAUUCCAUGGCGUCCGCCGCCUUCGCCGCGGGGCCCUGCGCCGCGCUCAUCAAGAAGCUGUGCGCGUCCGGGCGCACCGCGGAGGCCCGGCGCGUGCUGGCGGCCUGCGAGCCCGACGUCAUGGCCUACAACGCGAUGGUCGCCGGGUACUGCGUCACGGGGCAGCUCGACAACGCGCGCCGGCUCGUCGCGGCGAUGCCCAUGGAGCCCGACGCCUACACCUACAACACCCUCAUCCGCGGCCUGUGCGGGCGCGGCAGGACCGAUAACGCCCUCGCGGUGCUCGACGAUAUGCUCCGCCGGGGGUGCGUGCCCGACGUGGUCACCUACACCAUCCUGCUCGAGGCCACCUGCAAGAGGAGCGGGUACAAGCAGGCCAUGAAGCUGCUCGACGAGAUGCGCGACAAGGGGUGCGCCCCGGACAUAAUCACCUACAACGUCGUCGUCAACGGCAUUUGCCAGGAGGGGCGAGUGGAUGAUGCCAUGGAGUUCUUGAAGAGCCUGCCGUCCAACGGAUGCGAGCCGAACACCGUCAGCUACAACAUUGUGUUGAAGGGCUUGUGCACCGCGGAGCGGUGGGAGGACGCCGAGAAGCUCAUGGCUGAGAUGAGUCGCAAGGGGUGCCCCCCGAAUGUGGUGACAUUCAACAUGCUCAUCAGCUUUUUGUGCCGGAGAGGAUUGGUCGAGCCUGCGAUGGAGAUUCUUGAUCAGAUCCCAAAGUACGGGUGCACGCCCAAUUCAUUGAGUUACAACCCGAUACUUCACGCGUUCUGCAAGCAAAAGAAGAUGGACAGAGCCAUGGCGUUUGUGGAACUGAUGGUGUCCAGCGGCUGUUACCCCGACAUUGUCUCAUACAACACUCUUCUUACUGCGCUGUGUCGUGGUGGGGAGGUUGGUGCCGCCGUUGAGCUGCUUCAUCAACUCAAGGACAAAGGGUGCACCCCUGUCUUGAUUAGCUACAACACCGUCAUCGAUGGCCUUACCAAAGCCGGCAAGACAGAGGAAGCUUUAGAGCUGCUGAAUGAGAUGGUAACCAAAGGGCUCCAGCCGGACAUAAUCACUUACUCGACAAUAUCUUCUGGUCUUUGUCGGGAAGACAGAAUCGAAGAGGCGAUCAAAGCAUUUUGUAAAGUGCAGGACAUGGGCAUAAGGCCCAACACUGUGCUGUACAACGCGAUACUUCUUGGGCUUUGCAAAAGGCGCGAGACACACAGUGCUAUCGAUCUGUUUACUUACAUGGUGUCAAAUGGCUGCAUGCCAAAUGAAUCAACCUACACUAUAUUGAUUGAAGGCUUGGCUUACGAAGGCUUGGUCAAGGAGGCACGGGAAAUGCUGGCUGAGUUGUGCUCCAGAGGGGUGGUGAGUAAGACUUUGGUAAAUAAGGGAGCCAUUCGGUUACUUGAUGCUUGA
rnacentral:rRNA from 1 species